UAAAAAAAAAAAGUAAAGUAUUUGUCCUCCUUGAUAUUCAUAAUCAAUAACUUUUUAAAAGUGGCAAAAUAUUUACUGUAGCAAUCAAAAUAUUCAUAAUCUCUCUCUAAAAGCAUCAGCAAGUAACAGAGGAAGGGAAGAACCUGAAAAAUUAGCAAUCAGUCAAAACUAUCUCGUCAAUGGCGGCCUCUGAGACCGUCAAUGUAUCAUCCUCAUAUUGAUCGGAGUUCUCGCUUUCUCGAUCCGUCUCUUCUCUGUCAUCAAGUACGAGAGCGUCAUUUAUGAAUUCGAUCCGUAUUUUAAUUAUCGAGUUACUCAGAGGGACUAGUAUAGUGAAUGAUGAUGUUUCAAGUCAAUUAGCAAAUGCAGUUCAAGUGGAGUUUUCGGGUUGCGGAAUAAUAUUGAGCUUUUGGAGACCAUUCAGGUUUAUCUUGGCUGCAGCUUCCAGCAUACUUCAUCCUUCUUGAGAAUGUGAACUUGGUGUGUAAGCUGCUGCAUAUUUCAUUCGUCUUGUGAAUUGUGAAUUUUUGUUUUGUCUUUGUUUCAUGUGCUUCUCUCACGUAGUUGAUUGUGGUAUCAACUAUCAUCUAAAUAUUUUAUUAGAUACACUCACUGUCUGAAUCCUACACUCCAUUACCACCAAGAAUUCUUGGAAAAGCAUAAAGUCCUUGAAAUAUGUUUGAUAUCCUUGUUGUUUUUGUACAGUUCAACAGUUUUAGAAGAAUAGGCUGCAGUUGUUUCUUUGACAGUUGAAGUAAAUUCAUGAAAUCUAUUCUUAUUACACUAGAAUAGAAGCGAUUUCGUUAUUCGGUUGUCAUACUUGCAUUGUGAUGAAAGUUAAGGAGGUGCUAGAACCUUUGUUGUCUUGCUCUGUUCCCCUGUUCAAGCUAAGCUACUAAGAACUUGGGUUCAAUCUUAAUCUUAAACUCCAUAAGCUUGAUGUUAAUAUGAUCAGAUUAGAUCACUUGGAUGUCUAGCUAUGUUUUUGUAACUGAAAAGGGCAGCUUCACGUUUCACAUCAGAUUUCUAGAAUCCAGCAUAUUUCACAGUACUAGAACAAUUUGAGAUUCAUGAGAAUGUCAUUUUUUCUAGUUUUUAUCUAAUACUAUGUGUAAUCUAGUUUAACUCUAAAAUACAAGCACUAGAUAUAGUUAAAUAUAUGUUGAAGUUUUUCUUAUUAAUAUAUGAUAAUGUAUGUAAAUUGUCAUUCUUA